GCUAUACAUGCAGUCGAGCGAACGGAUAAGGAGCUUGCUCCUUUGAAGUUAGCGGCGGACGGGUGAGUAACACGUGGGUAACCUACCUAUAAGACUGGAAUAACUUCGGGAAACCGGAGCUAAUGCCGGAUAACAUUUGGAACCGCAUGGUUCUAAAGUAAAAGAUGGUUUUGCUAUCACUUAUAGAUGGACCCGCGCCGUAUUAGCUAGUUGGUAAGGUAACGGCUUACCAAGGCAACGAUACGUAGCCGACCUGAGAGGGUGAUCGGCCACACUGGAACUGAGACACGGUCCAGACUCCUACGGGAGGCAGCAGUAGGGAAUCUUCCGCAAUGGACGAAAGUCUGACGGAGCAACGCCGCGUGAGUGAUGAAGGUUUUCGGAUCGUAAAACUCUGUUAUUAGGGAAGAACAAAUGUGUAAGUAACUGUGCACAUCUUGACGGUACCUAAUCAGAAAGCCACGGCUAACUACGUGCCAGCAGCCGCGGUAAUACGUAGGUGGCAAGCGUUAUCCGGAAUUAUUGGGCGUAAAGCGCGCGUAGGCGGUUUCUUAAGUCUGAUGUGAAAGCCCACGGCUCAACCGUGGAGGGUCAUUGGAAACUGGGAAACUUGAGUACAGAAGAGGAAAGUGGAAUUCCAUGUGUAGCGGUGAAAUGCGCAGAGAUAUGGAGGAACACCAGUGGCGAAGGCGACUUUCUGGUCUGUAACUGACGCUGAUGUGCGAAAGCG
rnacentral:rRNA from 2 species